GUUAUUGGAAUGACUAUAAAUGACAACAAAAAUAUUGGCAGCGGUUGGCUAAGUUAUCAUGGCCUUGCUCUCGCAGUGUUUCACUCCGCGUUUGUAAAGCAUCACCCUGUCCCUGGCCUUUUGUGUAGCUAUACCCAUGGGAGUACUCAAUAGUACGACCGCACUAUAUAUCUAGAGGAUAAAAACCAAAGACAUUAAUUAAACCAGUGGAGUGCCCAAGGGAAACCGAUAGGGCUUUAGACGUAAAUUACAACCAAAAAGGAGUAUUUUAUCAGACACUUGGCAAAGAACCAUGAUAAGCCGAACGUUGCUUUAUACACUCGUUAAAAGCAAACAAGUGUCUCGAGAAGGACAAUGGGCAAACAAAAAAGCACUCGGAAAAGCCACCGCCGUAGUUGACGGUGCCACAAACGGCGUCGAACGUUUUAUCCAAACACUCGGCAAACAUUUUUUUCCUUAUUAUUCUCUUUUCCUUGUCUCUUUUUCUCUUUCCCAUUUUUCAUGUGAAUGUCAAAGUUCUGCGCCAGGGUAUUUUUUUUUCAUGAAAUCACAUAUAUUUUCAUGUGAAUGACAAAGUUGUGCACUGGGUUUUUUUUUUCGUGUAGCUAUGCAGACAUGCGUGCCUGGAUGCAUGGCUGGCUGGCUCAUCGAUCGAUCAGAAGCAAACAAUAAAGUGAGCUGAUGCAUGCAGAUGCAGGCUGCAGGUAGCGAUGGCUGGAUCUACCUCAAAUAGGGAAAAAGCAUGAAGCUUUUGUGUGCGUGCAUGGGACGGAGCGAGGUAGGAUUUGACUAUUUGAAAGGUUAGCACUUGGACCGGACCGUUUUUACUCCGGUCUCCAGGCGCGCGCCUAAAGUUGCUGAACGCGCGCGUAUGCACGCAAGGGCUCCUCUGCCCCGUGGUUUGCGUGUGCUUGGAGCUGCACCGGCGCCCCUGUCGGCGUCCAGUUUGACCGGCCAAUGGCGGGCCAGGUCAGGUCUUGCGAGAGCACAUAUCGAGAUAGUAGUAUAUCCGGGUCCAAUCGCAACCGGCCCGUCCAUGACUGCGGUUGCGAGAACAUGUGCCGCAGAGGCGUUCCUCUUUUCGAAAAAAAUUAAGCAAGUAACGGUCAAGUUAGCACAAAAAUCAACGAUAUGGAUAUUCCACAUAUUAAGCUGC
rnacentral:lncRNA from 1 species